GCCUGGCUCCAGAGAGCCCAGGCCCACGCCUUGGGAACCCUUCCAUGGAGAAGUGGAGAGGCAGGUUUUCAUCACUAAAGACCUACGGGCAAUCACACACUUCGGGCGAGGGUGCACCAAAUAUUGGCUGAGCAGGGACGUGGACUAUGGUAAUUUAUUAGCGCACAUGCUUCUGGAUCUCGUCCAUCCUGAGAAAGGAAGUGGGAUUGCAUUUCGUUCUCCCUUGAAGCCGCAGGGGGACCACGUGGCUACUUCGGAUCAAUGAGUUGCAAGCUGAGGUGACAUUGGACUGCUUGUGUGGAGGACCCCCCUAGAGCUCUCUUUCCCUCUGGCAGAAAAGGCUGAAGAAAGGAGUAACGGCUGGGGUCAGAGAGGACGUGGUCUAUGAAAAAAGCUCAGAUUUGUGGAAGACCAGCUCUGAGUUCUGGGUUAUACGCUUAUGUCCAUAUGACAUGGUUGGGAAAGAGGCCAGACUGGGAAAGAGGAAGCAUCAACUUUGUAUAGCUUAGUCACUAAGAAGUUGUUAUUGAUAAUGUUAAGGGUGGCCAUCCUGAUGAUGAUGAUGAUGGUGAGUGAUGGUGAUAGCUUUCAUUGACUGAACCCUUACAAUCCAUUGGUCCAUAGCUAGAAGAGAUACAGAACCAGGGUUUAACUUCGGUUUGCCAUUGUGUCACCCCUAGUUCAUUUUCCAUUAGGGUGUCAUUUCCCUCAUCUGCAAAAAGGCAGGACUAUACUUCCAAUAGUCCCCCUCCAAGGACCUUUCUGGCCUUAUAGUCUGGCAUGAUCUCUAUCCUCUUCGCCAAGAUGAGAGGAAGGUUUGGGAUGAGCAGAGGAGCAACCGGAGAAGGGACACUGUGUUCCAGCUGAACUUUUCACUCAGAUGAAGGCAGUGUGGAAAUUCUGUGAGCAGUAUGUUACCCAGGCCUGGAACACGUCUGAGAAGUGACAGAGGCCGUCGGAGAAUUCCGGGAGAACCAGGUCGUGCAACAAAAAGAGUCUACCACACACGACUGCUGUUCCGUAUUUGCCCUUUUUUUCCUUAACUGGAGGCCCCUAGAUUUUUCCAGACAAUAUUUGGAAGGCUAACAUCUGAUUACCCCAAGUCACCAACAAAAAUAGAUUUCA